UCUCCGUUGGUGAACCAGCGGAGGGAUCAUUACUGGAAUCGCAAGAUCCCACAACCCCUGUGAACCUACCGAAACGUUGCCUCGGCGGGCGCCCGGCCCCGCGCCGGGCGUCGAGCCCGCCGGUGGCCCACUACUCUGUCACUGCAGCGUGGCAUCUCCGAGUACAAGAAAAACAAGUCAAAACUUUCAACAACGGAUCUCUUGGCUCUA
rnacentral:misc_RNA from 1 species